CAGGGGCACACGGUUAGGAAGCGAAGGAGCCUUGGAGUCUAACCCGGGCAAGCAGCGUUCUUGAUAAUUACAUCCUAGGGCUUUCAGAAUCUCGGGGGACGGAACAGGAGCCCAGGAGUCGUCCUGGACCCCUCUCAUCCGCUCACCUUCUGUAUCCAGUUCAUCACAGGUCUGUGGGUUGUACCAUUCCAAGCCCAUCCAUUCAUCUUCACCACCACCAUCAGCAUCCUCGUAGAGCUUCAAUAAUUUCUGUUCCAGGUGACUGAAACUGCCCACGAACUGGGUCAGGCAUGCACCCCUGCGUCCUCAUCCCUCACCAUUUUUCUUUUUUAAAACUGAGGAUGCUCAGGUCUUCUAUUCUAGAGCCAUCUUUGUCUUUCAGAUAGGACUGAAAUCACGAAAUUUCCCUAGUCCAACCUGGAGCUUGAUUUCCUUGCUGACGUGGGAUUGGGAUUUACGAAGACUGCACGCGGAGUCCCAGCUCCUCAUCCCAAGGCUACGUGACGUCUCUGUCCUUGCUCUUCUCACCGUCACACAGGAGCCUAAGAGAGAGCCCGGUACCCGACGGGCCCCCCCGCACAGCGCGAGGGCGGGGCAGGAAGCCGGCCGGGGUGCCGUGAGGGAGACGGAGGCAACUGGGGCCCGGAGCCCGCGCUCCAAGAAAAUUACAGCACCCCCCGGGGGGUUAGAACAAGAUCCACGUCCUUAAGGAACCUCGCAUUGCCCAACGUGCUGAGCCCAUGGCGGGGAACGCAGUCUGCACGCGAGAGGGCUGCCACGCCCUGUGCAUGCGAUUCCCCACGUCUGACUGGGGACAGGUGCAGCUCCUAUCGGGGGUGGGGGGGUGGGGAGACGACCUGGUGGCCAGUCACCCUCACAUCUGCGUCGAUUUAGGAGAAGUGGAAGCAGGCAGCUGUAACAGUCCGGCAACGGGGAGAUCACAACACCACCAAGCAAGGAGACUGAAGGCCAGUAAAAACGUCCCACUGCUUAAAAAAUACCAAAAUGAAGAUAAAAAGUAAAUCCAGGGGAAAACUACCAGGAGACUAUUUCCAACAACAGAUGACUCAACGAGCACCUGAGAAUUUGUUGUACUUGUAUGUGCCGAGGUUCUGAACUUCCUGUUUCAAUAAAAUACCAAACAAGUUGUGUUUCCUUUAUAAAUAAGCUAUUACAUCAAGCCCUGUUCCUAUAAUUUCAGGUUUUUGUCUCCAUUCCAACAUUUUCUUUGGCAAAUGUAGAAACAUUCUAAUUAAAGUGGAGAGGAAAACAAGCAUCAUUCAUCACGAUAAGAAUAAUGCACAAAAGCACAUCCUCGUUUUUUCAUUCUUUCGCAGAGUUAUGCUCCACUGUGAACAGUGUGGGACUGGCGUCAUGCAGUCCCAGGCUAAUUCCCAGGUAAUGACUUGAAGCAAGCCCGAGUCACUGGAGGAUAGAAUUAAUUCCAAAGGUAUCAAUAAUUCCUGUCACAAGCUUAACAUUCUCUUAAAAAUAUCCUUCCGGGCCGAAGAGGAAGGCAUUCCUUUAGGUAAUCACGUAACAACAUCAAGGUUUCUUUUUAAGAUUCCGAGAUUAGAAGAGGCCUUCCUAUUUAUAACCACGCAAGCCCAAGUUGAAAGGACUA